GCCUGGGUAGUUCAGGGGCAGAACGCUUCCAUGGUAAGGAAGAAGUCGAGAGUUCGAUUCUCUCCCCAGGCUCCA
rnacentral:tRNA from 1 species